rnacentral:lncRNA from 1 species
UCUUUUAUAGAGAAUUGAAAGUGAGAGUUUACACAAAGUUUUGACGUGGAACUUUGUCCAAAUCGUUGUAGUGGUGAUGCGUGUCCAUGGUUCUAGGCUCUGUAACUGAGAGCUUCGGCAGGUUUCGGGUCUAUCUUCGUGCUGGUCCUUUAGUGCCAAAUGUGCUUAGUAUGGUAUAAACAAUAGUCCCUCAACUUUUGCGAUCAAGAAGUGGCUUUUGGGUUGGAUAAUCAAAUCGAGUAUUUUUGGUCUAGCAAGCGCCGUAGGGCGUUCCCC